GACGAACGCUGGCGGCGUGCUUAACACAUGCAAGUCGAGCGGUAAGGCCCUUUCGGGGGUACACGAGCGGCGAACGGGUGAGUAACACGUGGGUGACCUGCCCUCAGCUCUGGGAUAAGCCUGGGAAACCGGGUCUAAUACCGGAUAUGACUCCAUGACGCAUGUUGUGGGGUGGAAAGCCUUGUGCGGCUGAGGAUGGGCCCGCGGCCUAUCAGCUUGUUGGUGGGGUGANGGCCUACCAAGGCGACGACGGGUAGCCGGCCUGAGAGGGCGACCGGCCACACUGGGACUGAGACACGGCCCAGACUCCUACGGGAGGCAGCAGUGGGGAAUCUUGCGCAAUGGGCGAAAGCCUGACGCAGCGACGCCGCGUGAGGGAUGACGGCCUCGGUUGUAACG
rnacentral:rRNA from 1 species